rfam:Stegodyphus mimosarum contig81003, whole genome shotgun sequence.
AAAACGGCCCUUUUAAGGGCCAUUACUUUUUUCAGUUUUGUAAAUU